AACGAACGCUGGCGGCAUGCCUAACAUAUGCAAGUCGAACGAACUCUUCGGAGUUAGUGGCGCACGGGUGCGUAACGCGUGGGAAUCUGCCCUUGGGUACGGAAUAACUCAGAGAAAUUUGUGCUAAUACCGUAUAAUGACUUCGGUCCAAAGAUUUAUCGCCCAAGGAUGAGCCCGCGUAAGAUUAGCUAGUUGGUGGG
rnacentral:rRNA from 1 species